rnacentral:ncRNA from 1 species
GCUUCCGAAUUGAACUGUGGCGUUCAUCGCCGCUUUCCUGAAAAGGAUAGAUUCAGAAGUUCUU